GGAUAACUAUUGGAAACGAUAGCUAAUACCGCAUAACAAUGGGUGACACAUGUCAUUUAUUUGAAAGGGGCAAUUGCUCCACUACAAGAUGGACCUGCGUUGUAUUAGCUAGUAGGUGAGGUAACGGCUCACCUAGGCGACGAUACAUAGCCGACCUGAGAGGGUGAUCGGCCACACUGGGACUGAGACACGGCCCAGACUCCUACGGGAGGCAGCAGUAGGGAAUCUUCGGCAAUGGGGGCAACCCUGACCGAGCAACGCCGCGUGAGUGAAGAAGGUUUUCGGAUCGUAAAGCUCUGUUGUAAGUCAAGAACGAGUGUGAGAGUGGAAAGUUCACACUGUGACGGUAGCUUACCAGAAAGGGACGGCUAACUACGUGCCAGCAGCCGCGGUAAUACGUAGGUCCCGAGCGUUGUCCGGAUUUAUUGGGCGUAAAGCGAGCGCAGGCGGUUUGAUAAGUCUGAAGUUAAAGGCCGUGGCUCAACCAUAGUUCGCUUUGGAAACUGUCAAACUUGAGUGCAGAAGGGGAGAGUGGAAUUCCAUGUGUAGCGGUGAAAUGCGUAGAUAUAUGGAGGAACACCGGUGGCGAAAGCGGCUCUCUGGUCUGUAACUGACGCUGAGGCUCGAAAGCGUGGGGAGCGAACAGGAUUAGAUACCCUGGUAGUCCACGCCGUAAACGAUGAGUAAUAGGUGUUGGAUCCUUUCCGGGAUUCAGUGCCGCAG
rnacentral:rRNA from 1 species